UACGUAGGGUGCAAGCGUUAAUCGGAAUUACUGGGCGUAAAGCGUGCGCAGGCGGUUGUGCAAGACAGAUGUGAAAUCCCCGGGCUCAACCUGGGAAUUGCAUUUGUGACUGCACGGCUAGAGUGUGUCAGAGGGGGGUAGAAUUCCACGUGUAGCAGUGAAAUGCGUAGAGAUGUGGAGGAAUACCGAUGGCGAAGGCAGCCCCCUGGGAUAACACUGACGCUCAUGCACGAAAGCGUGGGAAGCAAACAGG
rnacentral:rRNA from 1 species